GGUCUUAUAGUGUAGUGGUUAUCACUCAGGAUUUUGACUUUGUCGCUUAUAUAAUCAGCUUCCUGGAACCCAGGUUCGAACCCUGGUAAGACCU